CGGCCGUCACCCACAGAAGGGCCCGCGGCGCAUUAGCUAGUUGGUGAGGUAAACGGCUUCACCAAGGCGAACAUGCGUAGCCAACCUUGAGAGGGUUGAAUCGGCCACACUGGGACCGAGAACACGGCCCAAAAUUCCUUACGGGAGGGCAAGCAAGUUAGGGAAAUCUUUCCGCAAUUGGACGAAAAGUUCUUGACGGAGCAACGCCGCGUUGAGCGAUGAAAGGCCUUUCGGGUCGUAAAGCUUCUUGUUUGUCAGGGAAAGAUACAAGUAUCGGAGUAACUGCCGGUACCUUUGACGGUACCUGACCAGAAAGCCACGGCUAACUACGUGCCAGCAGCCGCGGUUAAUAA
rnacentral:rRNA from 2 species